GGGAAGUAAAAGUCGUAACAAGGUUUCCGUAGGUGAACCUGCGGAAGGAUCAUUAAAAAAUGAGACCUGAUUCAAGGUCUAUUAAUAAUCCUACCCUUUGUGAAUUUGUUUGUUUUAAUAUGUGUCUUUCCUGUUUGGUUUGAAGCUUUGUUUAAAAGUUUCGAACCUUCAGGGGAAUGGCAAAACUUUUUUUAAAAUUAAACUUUUGUAUUCAUUUGUCUAAAAUUAUUUUUAUAAUAUAAAAACAACUUUUGACAAUGGAUCUCUUGGUUCUCGCAACGAUGAAGAACGCAGCAAAAUGCGAUAAGUAGUGUGAAUUGCAGAAUACGUGAAUCAUCGAAUCUUCGAACGCAUAUUGCACUUUUUGGUUUACCAAAAAAGUAUGUCUGUUUGAGUAUCAGUAAAUAUUCUCAUAAAAACUAUUUGUUUUUAUGGUUAUGAGUGUUUUACAACGAUAAACAAGUUGUUUCACUUUAAAUUCUUUGUCUUUUAAAAAAUCAUUAAAAACUGAUUUUUUUAAAAUUGGAUAAAAUUUCCCGUAAAAAGGAAUAACCUAAACAAUUUAAUUUAAAUUGGUUUGAUUUCUUUUAAGACUUUAAAGGAAAAAAAGUAAAAAUUAACUUGAUCUCAAAUCAGAUAAGAGUACCCGCUGAACUUAAGCAUAUCAAUAAGCGGAGGAAGAGAAACUAACUAGGAUUCCUCAGUAACGCGAGUGAAGCGGGAAGAGCUCAAAUUUGAAAUCUUCAAGGUUCUACCUUGACGAAUUGUAGUUUGAAGAAGUGUUUUCUGUUGGAGUUUUGGUAAAAGUUCUUUGGAAUAGGACAUCAUAGAGGGUGAGAAUCCCGUAUUUGACCAUUAUUUCCAACUUUGUGAUACACUUUCAAAGAGUCGGAUUGUUUGGGAAUGCAGUCCAAAGUGGGUGGUAAAUUUCAUCUAAAGCUAAAUACUGGCGAGAGACCGAUAGCGAACAAGUACCGUGAGGGAAAGAUGAAAAGAACUUUGAAAGAGAGUUAAACAGUACGUGAAAUUGUCAAAAGGGAAGCGUUUGACACCAGUGUUGUUUUCUCGAAAAUCAAUAAAAAUGGCGGGAUUUGUGUUGUAUUGACUUUAUCAGCUUUCUGCACUUUUUUCCUGUCUUUUUUAAUGCACUUUUCGUUUAACAAGUCAACAUCAAUUUCUUUUGUUGUAAAAGGGUCAUUGGAAGGUGGCUUUCUUUUCGGAGAAAGUGUUUAUGGCCUUUGGCUCUGCAAUCGGGAGAUUGAGGUCUGCAGCGUAGAUCCUUCGGGUUAGAUGCAUUUGUGCUAAGCUAUAGCCUUUCAUAGACAACUUGUUGACUAUGAUCAGUCAUGUAGCUUACUCGCUUAUGUCAUUUUACCUACCUUAGGAUGUUG
rnacentral:misc_RNA from 1 species